AAACUAACAAGGAUUCCCCUAGUAGCGGCGAGCGAAGCGGGAAGAGCUCAAAUUUAUAAUCUGGCACUUUCAGUGUCCGAGUUGUAAUCUCUAGAAGUGUUUUCCGCGUUGGACCGCACACAAGUCUGUUGGAAUACAGCGGCACAGUGGUGACACCCCCGUACACGGUGCGGACGCCCAGCGCUUUGUGAUACACUUUCGAAGAGUCGAGUUGUUUGGGAAUGCAGCUCAAAUUGGGUGGUAAAUUCCAUCUAAAGCUAAAUAUUGGCGAGAGACCGAUAGCGAACAAGUACCGUGAGGGAAAGAUGAAAAGCACUUUGGAAAGAGAGUUAACAGUACGUGAAAUUGUUGGAAGGGAAACGCUUGAAGUCAGACUUGCUUGCCGGAGCUUGCUUCGGUUUGCAGGCCAGCAUCAGUUUUCCGGGGUGGAUAAUGGGCGGUUAGAAGGUAGCAGCUUCAGCUGUGUUAUAGCUUUCCGCUGGAUACAUCCUGGGGGACUGAGGAACGCAGCGUGCUUUUAGCGGGGGUUUCGACCUCUUCACGCUUAGGAUGCUGGUGUAAUGGCUUUAAACGAC
rnacentral:rRNA from 1 species